CUUGUCUUUAUAUUAUUCUUCUUGUCGCUGAUAAGUGAGACCCAACCCAGCAUCAGAUGCACAAUCUGUAUAUAUCAGCAAUACCCGGUGUUUUGUUUUGUUUGUUGGUGUUUCAAUAUUGCUUUCCCCCUUAAUAUUUACCUUGGAGUUUGUUUCUUUUUACAAUUUACAUCUUAAAUUGCCUUUCUGUUUCAAUAUAUUUAAAAUUAAAUCUUGUAAAUAGAAAACAAAUCGCGGUUGCCAUGGGCACAGAUAUGUUGCUAGGGAGAAACAACAGUGAAUUUGGCAAAAAUGUGCAAUUAAUUAUGUAAUAUUUAAAUAGUGUACAAGUGUAAAGUUCACUACAUGCUAAACAGGUUCAAUUUCAAAUAUAGAUAUAUUUAAGCUGUAUAAUAAUCAUAUUUGAUGAGUUUAACUCCGCCAUUUUAGUGGUUGCUAGGCAACAGAAUAAACGAGCUAGACCCAAAAUUCGAUUAUUUUCAGAAGGUCUAUGGUAUAGACUUACAACAUGACAAAUUAAAUGAAAU
rnacentral:lncRNA from 1 species